rnacentral:tRNA from 1 species
GUAGUUCAGUCGGUAGAACGGCGGACUGUUAAUCCGUAUGUCACUGGUUCGAGUCCAGUCA